rnacentral:rRNA from 1 species
AUUGAACGCUGGCGGCAGGCCUAACACAUGCAAGUCGAGCGAGCGGCGGACGGGUGAGUAAUGUCUGGGAAACUGCCCGAUGGAGGGGGAUAACUACUGGAAACGGUGGCUAAUACCGCAUACUAUCUGAUGAACCCAUAUGGGAUUAGCUAGUUGGUGGGGUAAAGGCUCACCAAGGCGACGAUCCCUAGCUGGUCUGAGAGGAUGACCAGCCACACUGGAACUGAGACACGGCCCAGACUCCUACGGGAGGCAGCAGUGGGGAAUAGUGCACAAUGGGCGCAAGCCUGAUGCAGCCAUGCCGCGUGUAUGAAGAAGGCCUUAGGGUUGUAAAGUACUUUCAGCGGGGAGGCGUUACCCGCAGAAGAAGCACCGGCUAACUCCGUGCCAGCAGCCGCGGUAAUAC